rnacentral:misc_RNA from 1 species
GUGAAUCAUCGAAUCUUUGAACGCAUAUUGCACUCUCUGGUAUUCCGGAGAGUAUGCCUAUUUGAGGGUCAUUUGAAAUAAUAUAAAUUCCAAGAUUUCUCGGAAUUUAAAAUUGGGUGUCCCAUUUUUGUGGUCGCCUAAAAUCCAAGACAAGGUCAUCUUCUUUGGGUGCGUGAUACUUUCAGUUAACUUGUUACUUAACCAAGAAUCAUCGGGCGGGUUAUUAAUUUUUCCAG